GGAGUUAGCCGGUGCUUCUUCUGUGAGUGAUGUCCUUCCUGCCGGUUAUUGACCCGCAGGCCUUCUUCCUCACUUAAAGUGCUUUACAACCCGAAGGCCUUCUUCACACACGCGGCAUGGCUGGAUCAGGGUUGCCCCCAUUGUCCAAUAUUCCCCACUGCUGCCUCCCGUAGGAGUCUGGGCCGUGUCUCAGUCCCAGUGUGGCUGAUCAUCCUCUCAGACCAGCUACGGAUCGUCGCCUUGGUGAGCCGUUACCUCACCAACCAGCUAAUCCGACAUAGGCUCAUCCGAUAGCGCGAGGCCCGAAGGUCCCCCGCUUUCCCCCGUAGGGCGUAUGCGGUAUUAGCCUGGGUUUCCCCAGGUUAUCCCCCACUACCGGGCAGAUUCCUAUGCAUUACUCACCCGUCCGCCGCUCGCCACCAGGGAGCAAGCUCCCCGUGCUGCCGCUCGACUUGCAUGUGUUAGGCCUGCCGCCAGCGUUCAAUCUGAGCCAUGAUCAAACUCUGA
rnacentral:rRNA from 1 species